UUACGACCAUAUCACUAUGAAAUAUUGGUUCCCAUACAAUCACCGAAGUUAAGCAACGUCUAGCCUGUCAGUACCUAGAUGAGUUAUCGCUCGGGAAUACCAGAUGCAGUAA